rnacentral:rRNA from 1 species
GGAGUGACCGCAUGGGAUCUAAACUUAAACAAACUUUAGCUUUCAUUGCGCCUCUCUGCUAAACAAGACCGAGUGACUCGCACACAUGUUAGACUCCUUUGAGACCCGUCCUGAAACACGGACCAAGGAGUCUAACAUGUGUGCGAGUCACUCGGUCUUGUUUAGGCCAGAGAGGCGCAAUGAAAGUAAAGUUUGUUAAGUUACGAUCCCCAUGCGGUCACUCCCUGGUGGGUGACGGUGGGGCGCAGUAACGGCCCGCCAAUUUCGCCUAUUGACGAUCUGGCGGAGUCGUAGCAUACACGUUGGUACCCGAAAGAUGGUGAACUAUGCCUGGGCAAGACGAAGCCAGAGGAAACUCUGGUGGAGGUCUGUAGCGAUUCUGACGUGCAAAUCGAUCGUCAGACCUGGGUAUAGGGGCGAAAGACUAAUCGAACCAUCUAGUAGCUGGUUCCCUCUGAAGUUUCCCUCAGGAUAGCAGACACGCGGUGAGAUUCAGUCUCAUCCGGUAAAGCUAAUGAUUAGAGGCAUUGGGGUCGAAACGACCUCAACCUAUUCUCAAACUUUAAAUGGGUGAGAAGUAUGACUUGUUUGAUUAAAGCCAUACUCUCGGAUGUAUGCGUGCCUAGUGGGCCAUUUUUGGUAAGCAGAACUGGCCGCUGUGGGA